AAGAAACAGGUUGCUGAGAAGCAUGCAGUGAUGCUCUCCCUUAGUGUGACAACACUUUUUUCUGUGAAUGCAGGUCGUUCUCCUUUCUUUGGUGCUCUUGGAAUAUAUCUUUAUGAAGAGGACAAAGAGUGAGGUGGUUGUAUAUGAAGGAAGAACUGUGAUGGCCAUAGAUUUGCUCCUGAUCUCUCAGCAAAUACAGAGUCAAACACGUCUGACCAACUGUCUCUGGAAUAGGUGCUGUUUUCUUCGAUGAAGACACCAGCAUAUGGUUCCCAGGUUUCCCAGUGGAAAAUAUCAUUCAAACCUGCUGCUCCUCAGCUCUUGUACCUUCUCUGCUAUGCCUCUUAUUAACCUAGGAUCUAAAGCCACUCAAAGGUGUCAGAGAAGAAGGAUGCACCAUGGAAAGAGUUCUUCUCUUAUGUCUGCAAACAGUCUCUCUGGAGAACAGUAACACAAAUGUACAGGCAGUAAGAAGAGAGCACAGGGAAGUACUCCUUGAUUAAGUGCAUCUGCUUUUAGGCUUACUGCAUAAGUAAAUAAACACCAGGGAAUUGUGGAAGGUAUUCAUGGUAUUUUGUAAGUGAGUUUCAAAGUGCAUGCUGCAGAUUUAUAUGCUUUGUAAGCUACACUGCGAUGCAGGUUGCAUUCUAUUAAAA